GGUUCCUGAAGGGCAAGUCGGCUCCUGACUCCCGGGCCGGCUGGGGCAGCCUCGGGCUGCUCUUGGCAAGGGCCUUGCCUGAGUGCGCAGGGAGUUUAGGUAAACGCCUGCCCAGGCCCUGCAGGCUCUGGGAUUUCCGGGCCAGCGCGAGCAUUUCAGCAGCCUGGGCGCUGCCUCGCCGUGGCCUGCAGGAUCCCAGUCGGUGCGAGCUCACAGCCCGCAGGUGCGAGCAGGGGAGAGCUGGAAAGGACCCGGUGCAGGUGGGAUGGGGAGGCUGUCAGGACACGGCCUGGAGGCCGCUCCAGGGAGGCGAGAAGGUGCAGCAUGGCCAGGUGCCACGGGACACGGCUUGCCUGGCCCAUGGAGUUGGGGUGAAUCUGCGUGAUGAAACGGGUGACUAAGGGCCUCCCUGGCCCCCUGCUCCCACGGGCCCCGGGACUCUCCCAACCAGGUCUGAACCCAAGGGAGCACCACUACCCACCACCACCCACUGCAGCGGCCACACACUCGCCACGAGGACCAGCGCCUCUCAGGAGGAGGGGACACUGACACUGCCCGGAAACAAAGCCACCGUAAAUCCAGGGAGCAGUCAGUUCGGGGGCACACGGCCCACGUGUCCUGGGCGCGAACCGGGGGACCGUGAUGGCACUGUGACGGGGGCAGCGUCUCCCUCGCGCAGACCCGUCUGUCCGGGAGUCACUCUCUCACCCACCCCGGAAGGACGAGCACUGCCCGGACCCUCAAACCCCCGCCCACUUUCACAGAGGGCCGUGGCUGCCAGCUCGCCAGACACACACCAGGCCUGCCCAAGUGUGCAAACUGGAUGUACAGCUCUUCGCCGUGGACAGCAGGCGCUGGGAGAGGGGAUUCGGAAGAACACGGGAGCGUAAAGUGGGGUUCUGGAGCAGCGGAGGCAUGGGUGGGGCUGGGAGGCACCCCGGGGUGAGUUCUGCUCUUCUGUGUCUGUUCUGCAUAGUCUUGGGGAAAAGCACUCGCCACUCGAGGUAAGCGGUGCAGGAUGCAACGUCGGAAGGGGACCCCGACAGAGCAGAAGCGUUCCCCAGGGUGCAGCCAGCCAGAGAGCCAAAGGAGGGCAGGGAGAGGCCUGAGGGGGCGGAUGUGAUUGGGGCAUCCAGCUCCUUCCAGAGCGUCCACUGGGCUCACAGGGGUCUUGCACUGAGCAGGCCACGCCGCCUGACAGGGCGCCGACCAAGUUCCGUGUAUAUUAUGUCGGCAGCAUCUCAACCCCGAAGCAGCAAUUCUCUUUCUCUUUCUGGGCGACAGUUACUGCCGUCUGACACCCAGGUGACAGCGGCUGCCACAGUGUCAGUCUACCCAGUAAAAACUCGUGCCCAGCUCACGGCAGAGAGCCGGAAGGGCCACCCACGAGAACACUCGGCUUUAGAACAGCUCCCACGUAACAGCCGCAGAGGGGCAUCCUAGGGCCUUUACAAUGUGCCAAGUCAGGUAUUUUUUUAAACCCUCUCUCUCACCCCAGCUCUUAACACUCCUCCCCCUUUCCCCCCGGGGAUGACAUGGAAAGCCAGAGAAAUAGAAAUUCAGGCAUUUUCACAAAAAGGCUGCACACGGAUAGAAAGACACUGGCGUACAUACACGCUGAAAGAGGGAGAGGAAGAAGAGCUGCCGAUAGGGCGGCUCGGGUGUGAGGACAGAGGCCCCCGAGGCCGGGAGACACCGGGUGAGGGAAACCAUGGCCAGUCCGCAGGUGAGACGCAGCCUGCACCAGACUCGAACCAGGGCUAAGGGCUGAAGUCCACGGUCAGGGCGAGGCCCCGGUGGGCAGGGAGGAGUCCUCUGUGCUACAGGGGAGCGGAGGGAGGCUGGGGAGAGGCCAUGGGAAAAGCUAUUGGGGAAGGGAGGGUACAUGGGGAGGGAGGCCAAAGUAGCAGCUGUUAAGUCUUCAGCCAAGAACAUUCCAAAAUGAAUGCCAGGAUCUGGCUGGGUUGUGUGUGUGCGUGCGUGCGUGCUUGUGUUUGCAGGCUGUGUUUACAUAAGUGUAAGUUUAUCCCUGGGUAUCUGCUCUUCACCUCCUGCACUGCGGCCCUCCUGCCUUCUUCUGAGACCCCUACGGGCACAGGGACGCCGGCCGUCCCGACGCUUCUCUGCAGCAUUUCCAGACGCUUCAAACCACUGCCCUCCACUUCUGACCUUUGACAUCCGUGCCAAACACGUCACCCUCAUCCAUUCAUCCCGGCUCCUGGCCACCUUCCGAACGAGUCCAGCACCUGAAGGAUGUCCCCUCCUCUCCCAGCUUCUCCCUUGGCGAUGUCCUGUCCUUGAUGACCCACUCGAGAGCCCUCCCUGUCUCACCCACACGAGCCCCCGGGGCACACAAGGCUGCAGACCCCCAGGCCACAUGGCUUCCCCUCUCCCCUCGCAGCAUCCCAGCCUGCACCAACUCCCUUCGGCCCUCCCUCCCUACACGUCACUCAGGGUGCUGAUCUGCUCCGACCAAAGCUCGGGCGCCGGGGCUGGAGAAACCUGCAGGGAGCCCAGGCCCUGACACUUACUACCUGAGCGAGUUCUCGAACUGCUGAGUCUCAUCUGGAAUCCUUCCCUCACGGGACCGUGAGACCCCACCGGAGGGCGUGCCUCCUGCGGCCGGCACGCAGCUCUCUCCCUGACCAAAUGCUUGCUGGCACACCGCCGUGCAUUUCACCGGACCCGUUCCCUUGCUGACACCCCACUACGCACCAGCUGCUGUUCUAGGCACUGGGGAUACAACCUGAGCAAAGCGGACCACAACCUCUGCCUUGUGGCACUCACGCUGAGGGGAACCCAGCACGGACAUAGUCACAGCUGACAGAAGGGACAGCCGACUCUCGAAUGCCCCUGGAGGACUUGGCUCUCUGUCCAGUGUAACUCCGGAGCACCAAGGCUGAGCGCAUGAAGUCAGGAGUCAGAGAGACCCCGUUCAAGCCCGGUACCUGCAACUUCCUAACCACGGGACCUAAACUCCUCUGAGCCCGUCUCCUCAUUGGCAAAGCGUUGUUAUAUACCUCACAGGGUUGUUAAGGAUUAAAGGAGACUAUAGGGGAAACCAUUUAGCACAGCUCUUCACAGAUAGGUAUUAACGAGGUUUUGCAGUGAGAUUGAGAAGGCCUUAUAGGCAUGCUUCGUUUCAUUGCACUUCCCAGAUAUUGCUAUUUUUGUUGUACAAACCGAAGGCCAGAGCCUCCACUGGCAAAAGGUGAGGACCGGCUUUACUGCCACACUUGCUGGCCUGCAGCGGCCGGAGCCGAUCCCACCGCGUCUCCACCACGUCGCCUGUGUGACCUCUCUGCCACAGCCUCUCCUCAUUGCUUUUCCUCCUCCCGUGAAGCCACCACACCCUUCGGCCAGUCCACCCACCACCAUCUCCUCCUCCUCCUCAGGACACGUUCCUGUGUUUGCCAUCAUCCACUCCAAGUCUGAUGGUGAACUCUUCCUCCACUUGUCUCCUGUUUAUUUUGCACGUUGCUCUCCUAACUAUAUUAUACACUCCUGGAGGCGAGGAGUCCUGUUUUGUUUUAUUGUAUCUAUUUCCUGUAUCCCGAUGUCUAGCAUCUAUGUAUCUAUUUCCUGUAUCCCGAUGUCUAGCAUCUAUGUAUCUAUUUCCUGUAUCCCAAUGUCGAGCAUC